GGGACCCACAGGAGCAAUGUGUAUACACCAGAGUUGUCAAGAGAGAUGCUGUGGAAAAGCCUCAUAAGGGCCCUGUGUGGCCCAGGGACAGCCUCAAGGGUUCAGAUGUGGAACCUAUGGGAUCCAAGACCAGAUAUUCCUGGCAACUUUAAGCUGCAUUCAGAAGAUUGUGGCAGACGUGCCUGA
rnacentral:lncRNA from 1 species